GCUGAGGUGGCGGAACUGGCAGACGCACUGGACUCAAAAUCCAGCGCCCCCUAAAGGCGUGAGGGUUCGAUUCCCUCCCUCAGCA
rnacentral:tRNA from 1 species